AAACGUUCGUAGUUGAAUUUGUGUUCCACGUGGACAUUCAAAUACCUAUAAUGGUGUUCGUUUGUCUUCAUUGUGCGAACGUAUUGGCGGUUGGCAAUGUUAUUACUUAAAUUAACUUAUAUAUAUGUAUUUAUUAUGUAUGUAUAGGCAUUUUUGUGAUGCUUGCUGUUUUUCAAAUGUUUAUUUAUAUAUUAAUAUAUUUAUCAUUUUGAAAACCUAUAACAGUGCUCUUAAUCGAGUGUUGUUGUGGGCCGCCACAAUUACUUUGAACAAAUUAGAGUGCUUAAAGCAGGCUAAUAACGCCUGAAUAUUUUGUGCAUGGAAUAAUGGAAUAGGACCUCUGUUCUAUUUUUAUUUUAUAUUGGUUUUUAGACCAAGAGGUAAUGAUUAAUAGAAGCAGUUGGGGGCAUUAGUACUACGACGCUAGAGGUGAAAUUCUUAGACCGUCGUAAGACUUACAAAAGCGAAAGCAUUUGCCAAGGAUGUUUUCAUUAAUCAAGAACGAAAGUUAGAGGUUCGAAGGCGAUCAGAUACCGCCCUAGUUCUAACCAUAAACGAUGUCAGCUAAUGAUUGAGUGAAGCUCCUCCGAUGGCUCUCUCAGUUGCUCUCGGGAAACCAAAGCUUUUGGGCUCCGGGGGAAGUAUGGUUGCAAAGCUGAAACU
rnacentral:rRNA from 1 species